UCUUCUGUGAUGAUAAACUAAGUGACUUUCGUUCUUCUGAAUUUAAUGAAGCCAGCCUUUACAUCCUGAGAAGG